GUUGGUAAGGUAACGGCUUACCAAGGCGACGAUCAGUAGCCGACCUGAGAGGGUGACCGGCCACACUGGAACUGAGACACGGUCCAGACUCCUACGGGAGGCAGCAGUGGGGAAUAUUGCGCAAUGGGGGGAACCCUGACGCAGCAACGCCGCGUGGAGGAAGAAGGUCUUCGGAUUGUAAACUCCUGUCUUCUGGGAAGAUAAUGACGGUACCAGAGGAGGAAGCCACGGCUAACUACGUGCCAGCAGCCGCGGUAAUACGUAGGUGGCGAGCGUUGUCCGGAAUUACUGGGCGUAAAGGGCGCGUAGGCGGCUUUUUAAGUUAGAUGUGAAAACCCGGGGCUUAACUUCGGACGUGCAUUUAAAACUGGAGAGCUUGAGUGCAGGAGAGGUAAGUGGAAUUCCUAGUGUAGCGGUGAAAUGCGUAGAUAUUAGGAGGAACACCAGUGGCGAAGGCGACUUACUGGACUGUAACUGACGCUGAGGCGCGAAAGCGUGGGGAGCAAACAGGAUUAGAUACCCUGGUAGUCCACGCUGUAAACGAUGGAUACUAGGUGUGGGAGGUAUCGACCCCUUCCGUGCCGCAGUUAACGCAAUAA
rnacentral:rRNA from 1 species